rnacentral:rRNA from 1 species
UACGGAGGGGGCUAGCGUUGUUCGGAAUUACUGGGCGUAAAGAGCGCGUAGGCGGUUUAGUAAGUUGGAAGUGAAAGCCCGAGGCUUAACCUCGGAAUUGCUUUCAAAACUGCUAAGCUAGAGUGUAGUAGGGGAUGAUGGAAUUCCUAGUGUAGAGGUGAAAUUCUUAGAUAUUAGGAGGAACACCGGUGGCGAAGGCGGUCAUCUGGGCUACAACUGACGCUGAGGCGCGAAAGCGUGGGGAGCAAACAGG